GGAGACCCUGAUUUCUAGCCGUUGCAAGUCCUCCCCAAUCAACACAUUCCAACGGUCACCAGCUCCACAUACCUUUUCAAAUUUAAUCGACAACUGGUUUAAAAUUUGAACGUUAAUAUUCCUUGCCCUCUAUCUCCCUCUCGCAAACAAGGAUAUGUGCAUCCCAGAUCAAAACUAGACGAGUUUUUCUUCCUUUAGAAAUUUUCUUUCGCAUCAAUUGUCAAUCAAUGGCAGCGGUUGUGGAGUUAUCAAAUAAUUUGUUGAUUAUCGAUGCGGCGUACGAGUUCGCAGCUCCCCAGUUUUAUGAUUUUACAUAUGGGGAGACGGAUGAGGACGUUCGUAAUGCCGAGCUCUGGUUCGAGACUAGCCUUUCUUAUGCCCCUUCUCGUACGUACUUCCUGUUACUUGUUCUUCUAUAUAUUAUUUUUUCCGUUUUCGGAAUUUUUGAAUUUAUUCAGAAUUUAGAACACUGGCGAUUUCUUGAAAUUUUUUGACGUAAUAUAUGCAUUAUUUGGUUU
rnacentral:lncRNA from 1 species